rnacentral:tRNA from 1 species
GGGAUUAUAGUUAACAAUAACAUUUGAGUUGCAUUCAAAAAGUACUUUACCUAAAGUUAAUCUCA